UGAGGUGCAGAUGGUAGGAUUCCAGUCCGCACGUUAGACCGGGGCGCAUCUUCAUCUGCAGCUAAGCCGGCUGGAUAUCCAGGAGGACCGUACGAUACGUCUCUUUUGGUGAAGUACGAGCAUCAUGUUGCUCGACAUUUAUGGUUCGGUGAGGAAAGAGGUCCAAAGAAAGAGUUGAAGGUUGCUGGACAUGGACUGAAGUUGACAUCUAGGGUUCCAUUGGCUCUUCCACCAUAGAUGGAGAGUUGGGUAUCUAGAUCUGGUUUAUCUUCACUUCAGAGAACCAGUCUGAACAAGAUAGACACAAAUCUUGUCUCUGCAUUUGUGAAAAGAUGGCAUCUAGAGACAUCUUCAUUUCACAUGUCGUUAGGUGAAAUGAACAUUACUUUGGAUGAUGUCUCAUGUCUGCUUCACUUGCCCAUCAGGGGUAUCUUCUGGAGCCCUCAGGAUGUGACGGAAGAGGUAGCUGUUGAGCUUCCUGUUGACUACCUAGGAGUGUCACAGGGUGAGUCACAGUCACAUGUCCGUAGCUGCAGGAGUUCGUAUUACAAGUUGGAGUGGUUAUACGAUUUAUUCGUACAUCAUAGAGCUGCUUCCAACUGUGCAUAUGCGACCAGAGCAUAUCUAUUGAUGUUGGUGGGUUCCACCAUAUUUGCCGAUAAGACCUUUACACUUGUAGAGGCACGAUACCUCCUCCUGUUUACGGACUUGGAUAGAUGUUCAGGAUAUAGUUGGGGAGCAGCUGCACUAGUUACCCUAUACAUAUAUCUUGGAGAUGCGUCCAUGUACAGUUGCAAAUAGCUCGGUGGAUAUCCUACUCUCCUACAGUGUUGGAUUCACGAAUACUUUCCAACUGUUGGAAAAAGAGGGGAGAAUUGGAAACCUGUUGAUAACUGUGGUCUUCCCCGAGCGAUGAGAUGGUCGUAUAGGCAAGGAGUCCUGAAGGUUGAUGAUUUACGACCUAUUUUGGACGAGCUGACACCUGCCGACGUCAUAUGGCGUCCAUUUGAGGAUCAUAGAGCAUGACGUCUAUUUGAUGAGAUAUGUCUUUACAAGGGCUGUUUGAAGUGGGGUGAAACAGUUGUUCCAUACUUGCCUGACAGAUGUUUACGUCAGUUCGGGUAUAGGCAGUAUGUUCCAUCCCCACCUCUUGAUUGUAUGAUGGCGACGGAUAUUGAUGUUGAUUGGAUUAGUUACCAUCAGAGUGUUAUCGAUGUGAUCGAUCCAUCUACCCUGGCCACCACUCCAUCUGAUGUAGAAGAUGGUUAUCUGGAGUGGUAUUAUUGUGUUUUGCAUCCACGGUUGGUCCCUCCCCAUCGUGACGAUCCAAGAGAGGUACCAGUUCCUGUAUAUGACGUCGGACCAUCUGAUCCUGAUUGGGCUGUUAGAGCGGAAGCUGUUGGUAAUGAGCCGUAGCAAUAUAGUGGUAGCAUGGCACGAGAUCCACAUGUGCUUGAAACUGAGAUUGAAUAUUUUCCAUGACAACACUUGUUUCUUCUUCUAUCUUCGUCUUUAGGGACCCGGAGUGGGGUUUCUUUGCUCCCUUAGCCACAACAAUUGUGUCUUGGAUUUUACCGAUCUUCAAACAGUUCUCAGUCCGAUCACCAACAAAUGACCAGGUAUGAGAAACCUGAGGAGGCGCUUCCAACCAUCCUAUUAAGAUAAGGCCCCUAAAGGGUAUUCAUGAACAUGCCUACCAGUUCCCUUUCCAGAAGAGGAGGUUGAACCUUGGCAACCAAGUCUCUCCACUGUUGGGCAUACUCCUUGAAUGAUUCACCUGAUUUCUAAGUGAGGCUCUAGAGUUGAGUCCGGUUGGGAGCCAUGUCUGAAUUAUACUGAUAAUGUUUCAGGAAUGAUUUAACUAACUCCCUCCAAGUUCGUAUAUGCGUGCGUUCAAGCUGCAUAUACCAUUCAAGUGAAUCCCCCACUGAGGCUAUCUUGAAAGAAGUGCAUUAAAAGUUUCUCAUCCUAAGAAUGAGAAGCCAUCUUCAUGCAAAAGGACCAGAUAUGGGUUUUUCGACACCUAACCCCUUUGUAUUUUUCGAAGACUUGGACCUUGAACUUAGCAGGAAUCUUUACACCAAGCACUAGGCAUAUAUCUCCAGUCUCCAACCCAAAGGCACUAGAUCCUUAGAUAGCUUUUAUCCUCUCCUCUAGAUCACAAAGCUUUGUCUCCAUUUCAGUAGUCGAUGGUCCAAAGGCGUCAUAAACUAAAUUAGCUUUUGGAGUGAAGAAAGCAUCGUGAUAAUCAUAUAUCUCAACUGACAAGCAUGUUGAACGUAUUACCAACAUUUUGAUACAUGGGACCCCCCCUCAAGAGGUGGCCGAGUCACUAUUUAUGCACCAGUACCCCCUAGUGGAUUCAGUGGAAGUGUUACAACAAGAUUUGCAGUAACGACCCUCAGAUUGGCCUAUCGUACUUCUUCUUCAAGUGCAAAGUUCAAGUCAAAGAAUGAAUAAUCGGUUAUGACUCAAGACUUCAAUUGACACUGUUCGUUGGUUAACACUACAAGCUUGUGCUUUUAGGGGCCACGACGAAAGUAGCAAAUCAAGAAAUCAAGGUAACUUUCUUGAGUUAUUGAAACUUUUAGCAUCCUAUAAUGAUGAAGUUGCAAAAGUUGUGUUGGAAAAUUCUCCACAAAAUUGCAAGUAUAUUUCACAUCAAAUUCAAAAAGAGCUCUUACAAGUAUACUAUUUACGUUUUAUUUAUAAUCUUUACUUUACGUUAGCGGUCAUCCCAAAUUUUUUUAUCUGACUCCACCAAUGUCAUCAAUCUCAUAAUAUUAUUUAGAAAUGACUAAUAUUUUCUAACCGACACAUGAUAAUAUGGAAUUCUAACUAAAAGCUACAUGUGUUGAUCAUGAGAAAACAUUUGGUUAUGAUAUAUGCACUAUAAUCGAACCAUCAUGUUAUCCGUGCUGAAUUUUAUCUUUUAUUGAUUUCAACAUUUUUCGUAGUUCAUAUCAAAAUAACUUA